UACAAUUAAAUGAUGAUUGCAUAGUUCAACUGAAAUAUCCUGACGACAACUUAAUAUUAUAGUCUUUCGCUCCUAUCUGAUAUUAUUU
rnacentral:snoRNA from 1 species